GAGCGGGGAUCAGCCGAAGUCGGGAGAGGGGCGCUUCCACGGGGCGGGAAACUGGCGCGCGACUCUGGGGGAAGUGCAGGAUGGGGGGACAGGGGCGCUCCCGCGGGGGUGGAUGGGGGACCAUAGCGGGGCUGGCGGGGCAGGGGCCGGCGCACGAGGCUGGAGGAGGGGAGCGCGCGCUUCUACCCGGGCUGGGUCGCCGAGUCCACAGCCUCGAAGCCAUGGGUUCUCCCCGGCCCUCUGAAGCCGCCACACCUGUGCCAGCCGGCCGCGUCCUCAGACCUUUCCCCGCGGAGUCUUCCCAGCACUUGGAGACGCAGCGCAGGGCCCCGAGGACGGCCUGGCCCGGAGAAAAGAUACCGAAGCUCCAACUUUCCCCAACCCCGCUCCCCUCCUCCUUCCACCCUCCCUUCCCGCCCCCAAAGCUCGGGGGUCCUAUCCCUCCUCCGGUCCGCGGAGUCUCCCGAACCCUGCGGGGACCCGGCGCUCGGCGGUGCCCUCCUGGGGCGCACGGGGCUGGGGCGGGAGCGAGGAGACCAGGUGGGGAGGGGACCCCAGAUCUCAGACGCCAGGGGAGACGGCGUUUCCCGCUGUUCAUUCAGGUUUGUGCCAAAAGGAGCCUCACAGAUGCAGUAUUGGGUUUGGUAGACUCAAAUCGUCUUGUUUUAAUGUAAAUGAAAGUAAGUUUAGGAUAAAUUCCAGUGCGGCGGGGGCAGGCAAGGCUACCCACAUUUUUUAAAAAGAAGCCAGCCCGUAUUUUUCUCCCUUUCCAAAUCCUCCGCCCCCCAGUCCUUCGACCCAGGCACGAGCGCCCAUCGCGGAGGCCACGAUGCCCGUUUUAUUCCCUCUCCACGGCAAGGAAAAGCAGCGAAAUCUGAGGUCUUCAGAGGUUAACCCUAUCUAGGAGCAGAAUGUGACGCAUUGUAAACAAAUAAAUAUUGAAAACUCGAUGUUAAACACUUUACUUUUUCUGACUCCGACUUGCUUGACCCCUGAGCAGACCUGGGUUUCGAACACAGACGCCCUUCCCCAUUUCUCUAUUCUCUGUAUUCCUGUUUCACCUUCACGGCAGUCUGCCAGCACUUCUUAGCACUCAGUUUAACCAGAGGACAAGCUCUUGAAUAGCAAAAACCAGGUCUUUUUAUACGUGGCACAGUGGCUGUUACAAAAUAUGCUUCUUGGGUGAAUUGGUAAAAAAUAUUGUAUUACUUUUUAUUUGUAGCAAAACCUAGAAUAAGAAAAAGUACAAGAGAUUAUUGUUUGCCUUUAAAUUGCAUUUUUAAAAGAGCGUGCAUAUAAUCUCUGAGAAAUUAAAUGUCUACAAAUAGCACAAAGAUAUUGUCUCAUUACCUUGCAAAGGGACAUUCUAUUCCAGGGCCUGAAGAAGGAAAAACAGCGUGUUGCAUGCAUAAAUGUUGACUUUGAGAGACAAGUUUUUGUUAAAAUUUUAUCGUUAAAUGAAUAGACACAUAUAUUUUUGUUUUUCAGACCAAAGGUAAUUGUUAAUUCAUUUGUAAAAUAAUGUAGUUUUGGCUAACAAUCUCUGGAAUCCUUUCUAUAAUAAAAUUUUGUGAUUCCAGGACGUCGUAGGCGCUCUGGGGCUGCUUUUGAAAGGCUA
rnacentral:lncRNA from 1 species